rnacentral:lncRNA from 1 species
UCACAUUCAGUAUGCUCUUUGACUUAUCUUGGGGCUAAGUCUGAAUAAACCCAUCAUAAGUUUAAAAUAUUACAAGUCAAAAGUACAUUUUCAACUUAUAAUGGGUUUAUCCAGAUGUAGCCCCAUGGUAAGUCAAGAAGCAUCUGUAAAUUAUUUUAAGCCACUAUGACGUUUUCCCCAAAACAUAGAUAACCUAAACACUGUGACACUUUACACACACACACACACACACACACACACACACACACGAGAGAGAGAGAGACAGUGAGAGAGAGAUCAAGUGGCUAAACAGUAACUGAUUAGCAGAUUAUGUUAAAACUUAGUAGUUGGAAGCACUUUUGUUGUGGCUUGAACCUCAAAUAUUUUCUAGGAGACCUUAGACUCUAGUGGUAUGAUGAACAGAAACUCGUGAGUAUAUAUAACACAGUGAAUUUAAAAAAUGCUCUUUGGUGCUGCAUGAGAUGGGGGCAUACUCUAUGAAGCUAAGGAGUAGCAGAGAACCUGGAAGUAAUUAAAUACAGCAGUACACUUGUCAGCCGUGGGGCCUCCAUUCUUUGUUUAUGUUGAGUACCUAGCCAUCUGAAACAUGUAGGUAACUGGAAGAUGAAAAAAAAAGGUCCUGACAAGUUAUUUAGAGUAAUGAAGAGAGAAUGUUAUCAAAAAAGAUUAAAGGUUCUGUAUUAGGAGAGCCUAGCUGAACAAUGGUUAAGGAAUGGCAGCAUGCAAGAAUGUUAGUGCCAAAGAGAAAGACACAUAUUAGUCAUUUGUAGGAUCGGGUUACAGCCAAUGAGAGAGGGAGAAGAAGGGGCACAGAGAGCAAGGGAGUCAAGAGGAACAGACCUAGGAUGUAUAAAUGGUAGCAUUUUUAGGUUAAAAUCUUUCCAGUCAACCACAACCGUUACAUUGAAACAAGCAAAGUUUGGUGUAGCAGAAAGGGUACCAAAACACAAAUUGGAAGGUCUUUGUUCAGCUACUAACAGAUGUCUCAAUAGAACCUCUUGGAGGAACAGACCAGCCUCAAAGAUAUAUGGGAAGGCACAACACCAAAAUGAUGCUGCAGGAUGGGUCCAGAAAGGAUGCCACCAUUGUGACCACUGGGCACAGACACCACAAAUUGUCCCAUUGAUCCUGGACAUGGAUGCUGAACUGCUGCCAUCACUGCCCC